rnacentral:lncRNA from 1 species
UUUUUGCUUUUUGGUUUUUUGUUUGUUUUUUGAGACGGAGUUUCACCCUUGCUGUGAACUACCAUAGGCUGGAGUACAAUGGCGCAAUCCCAGCUCAGCACAACCUCUGCCUCGUAGAUUCAAGCCAGCAGGGCGAGCCCCUACCCCAGAGUGAAGGUGGACUUUGCCCUCUCGUGCCACGAGGACUUGCUGGCACCCAUCUCUGAGCCCAUCGAGUGGAAAUACCACAGCCCUGAGGAGGAGAUAAGGUGUGUGGCCCCUGACCCCUGGGAGGGACCUGGCGUCUGUGUGGCCACGCCCCUGGGGUGGGGACUCCUGGAGGUCACGCAGUGGGUUUUCAGAACCUGCCUGGGUGGGGACUUGCAGAAGGCAACUGUGCAUCCCCUGGGUUGAGGGCGUGGAUGCUAGAGCCAGAACCCCUGGGUGUGACCCCCAGCCCUGCUGCUUCCCCGUGCUGUGACCUUGGGCCCCAAGGUGCUGUCCGUCCAUUCUGUGGUUCAGUGUCCCCAUUUUAAAAUGAGGACGAUGAUAAUACCCACGUCCUGGGUCUGUCUUCAGAAUCACAUGUGUCCCUUCUCACGAGGUGCCUAAAGCAGAGACGGGCGUCCUGAGAGCCCAGCGUUGACUCUGGCACUGCAGCCUCCUGGGGCCUGCUUGGGUGGGUUGUUGGGUGCUGUGGGCAGGGGCCACCGCCUCCGGGCUCCAUGUUCUGAUUGCCCUGCAGCCUUGGACCUGCCUGCUGGCUCUGGGAUUUUUUAAGACGAAGUCAACAGGUAAGACUUCCAGUUUCUAGUGAGCC